rnacentral:tRNA from 1 species
GAUAUAGCUCAGUGGCAGAGCAUUUGCCUAGUAUGCAUAAGCCCUGAGUUUGAUUCCCAGUAUC